AGUAAUCCCUUUAAGUCUGCCAAGAAAUCUGUUCGGACACGUCUUUUCCGAAAAUUCUGCUAUAUUGACUGGAACUAUAAUGCUUUUCCUUCUUCUUGUUGAAUGUUCUUUGUUGUUGUAUACCCUCCUUCAAUCUUUGAUUGCUGCUCGAUAGCCACUAUAAAUUCACUGGCUUUCUGAGCAACAAUCAAAAGGUGAGAAGAAACUUUGUCACGUGACUCGACAUGUGCUCUUAGGAGACCACCGUGUUUAAGAUUCUGUCGAUGCACGGUAAACGUCUUGCUGAAUCAAUUCCCUCAUUAAAUCGCCAUAAAUUGUCAUCAUCCCGGUAAAAAAACAUCCAUUGCAAACCAGCUUUCUGUGAGAACCAUACUACCUGAUUCAGACAAGAAGCAAUUAAAAAAGCGACCACCAUGAUUGUUACACCACAGUUAUGAAUCAACUAAACAGCUUCA
rnacentral:lncRNA from 1 species